rnacentral:rRNA from 1 species
GAUGAACGCUAGCGGCAGGCCUAAUACAUGCAAGUCGAGGGGCAGCGCGGUAGCAAUACUGGCGGCGACCGGCGCACGGGUGCGUAACACGUAUGCAACCUACCUUCAACUGGAGGAUAGCCCGGGGAAACUCGGAUUAAUACUCCAUAACACAGGGAUCCCGCAUGGGAAUAUUGUUAAAGCUACGGCGGUUGAAGAUGGGCAUGCGUUCGAUUAGCUAGUUGGUGUAGGUAACGGCUCACCAAGGCUACGAUCGAUAGGGGGUCUGAGAGGAUGAUCCCCCACACUGGUACUGAGAUACGGACCAGACUCCUACGGGAGGCAGCAGUAGGGAAUAUUGGUCAAUGGGCGCAAGCCUGAACCAGCCAUGCCGCGUGCAGGAAGAAGGGCCCCUCUGGGGUUGUAAAACUGCUUUUGAUAGGGAACAAAUGCCACUUGCGAGUGGAGCUGAGUGUACCUAUAGAAUAAGCACCGGCUAACUCCGUGCCAGCAGCCGCGGUAA